rnacentral:lncRNA from 1 species
AUGAUUUUCUCGUCUUUUAUCAGGCAAAUAUACUUGUAUGGAGACGACUGCAGCAGUAACUUUUGCCUUGUAUUUAAAGGUACCGUUGCAGAACCGGUUACACGGAGGAUCGUGGUCUCGCUUAGCAGGAGAUGCACCCAGCCCCAGGGAGGAGUCCCUUUCCUUAGGGAGUUUAUCCAUUGUUGAUGGAUAAAAAUAUUUUAUACAACCGGGAAAGGUGGGUCAGGGGAUAAUGUUCCCUACAUUAUGAUACAAAACAUGACAUGUUCUCCUUGAAAUAGAAGUUAUUCACAACUGGGAGAAUACACAAUAUAAUUUAACAAGUAUACAGUACACAAUGAUCAUAGCAUUCAUCAGUACACUUCUUGCCUCCCAGUUUUGAACCUUAUGUGAUUUUAAUUGAUUGGUUUGGAUUCUGUCUGUUUAGAGCAGUGCAAGCAAUUUGGCGGGCCCCUGCUGUUACGGUGCUAUCCUGUCCUAGAUAGGAGGUUUGAAGUGGAUGUUCUGCCAUUUAAUCUUUUUGGGAUGGGGGGCAGCAUUUCACUUUUGGAUGAAUAGCGAGCACAGUGGGAACUGCCUCCUACUCUGUCCUAGAUGCUAAUAUAUGCAUAUUAUUAUUAGCAUUGGAGAGAAAACACUCUGAUGUCUGUGAGUGUAACAGGCAUAAACCUGAGAAGAAUUCCGAGGUUGGUCGACUUUCAAUCCAGUCCCUAUUGAAUUCACAGUGAGAUAUGGAUGAAGGUGGGCUUCCUCUAGAUGUCAACCGUCUUUAGAAACUGGUUUGAGGAUUCUACUAUAAAGGAGGACUCAUAAGAGCUCUUUGAGUCAGUGGUCUGGCAGGGUGUCUCAGGCUUGUGACGCACGCUCCCGACAGAGUUUGCUCUCGUUCCAGUGCUUUUCUUCAGACAAUGAAAUUCUCCAGUUGGAACCUUAGUGAUGAUUUAUGUUAACUUCUCUGCGCACGGAACCCGCUAGCGGGCUGAAAUUCCACAACAUACAGUGAUCGCUACAUAAAUAGUCAUAUUAAACAUUCAUGAAAAUACUAGUGUCUCACAUGUAUCGAAAGCCUAGAAUCUUGCUAAUCCAACUGCAUUGUCAGAUUUUAAAAAGGAUUUACUGUGAUGUGAUUAUCUGAGCAUAGAGUGUAGAGAAAUGCUAUUUCUUAUGCAGGUGACCAAACUAU